CAUGAUGAACGCUAGCUACAGGCUUAACACAUGCAAGUCGAGGGGCAGCAUGGUCUUAGCUUGCUAAGGCCGAUGGCGACCGGCGCACGGGUGAGUAACACGUAUCCAACCUGCCGUCUACUCUUGGACAGCCUUCUGAAAGGAAGAUUAAUACAAGAUGGCAUCAUGAGUCCGCAUGUUCACAUGAUUAAAGGUAUUCCGGUAGACGAUGGGGAUGCGUUCCAUUAGAUAGUAGGCGGGGUAACGGCCCACCUAGUCUUCGAUGGAUAGGGGUUCUGAGAGGAAGGUCCCCCACAUUGGAACUGAGACACGGUCCAAACUCCUACGGGAGGCAGCAGUGAGGAAUAUUGGUCAAUGGGCGAGAGCCUGAACCAGCCAAGUAGCGUGAAGGAUGACUGCCCUAUGGGUUGUAAACUUCUUUUAUAAAGGAAUAAAGUCGGGUAUGGAUACCCGUUUGCAUGUACUUUAUGAAUAAGGAUCGGCUAACUCCGUGCCAGCAGCCGCGGUAAUACGGAGGAUCCGAGCGUUAUCCGGAUUUAUUGGGUUUAAAGGGAGCGUAGAUGGAUGUUUAAGUCAGUUGUGAAAGUUUGCGGCUCAACCGUAAAAUUGCAGUUGAUACUGGAUAUCUUGAGUGCAGUUGAGGCAGGCGGAAUUCGUGGUGUAGCGGUGAAAUGCUUAGAUAUCACGAAGAACUCCGAUUGCGAAGGCAGCCUGCUAAGCUGCAACUGACAUUGAGGCUCGAAAGUGUGGGUAUCAAACAGGAUUAGAUACCCUGGUAGUCCACACGGUAAACGAUGAAUACUCGCUGUUUGCGAUAUACUGCAAGCGGCCAAGCGAAAGCGUUAAGUAUUCCACCUGGGGAGUACGCCGGCAACGGUGAAACUCAAAGGAAUUGACGGGGGCCCGCACAAGCGGAGGAACAUGUGGUUUAAUUCGAUGAUACGCGAGGAACCUUACCCGGGCUUAAAUUGCAGAUGAAUUACGGUGAAAGCCGUAAGCCGCAAGGCAUCUGUGAAGGUGCUGCAUGGUUGUCGUCAGCUCGUGCCGUGAGGUGUCGGCUUAAGUGCCAUAACGAGCGCAACCCUUGUUGUCAGUUACUAACAGGUUCCGCUGAGGACUCUGACAAGACUGCCAUCGUAAGAUGUGAGGAAGGUGGGGAUGACGUCAAAUCAGCACGGCCCUUACGUCCGGGGCUACACACGUGUUACAAUGGGGGGUACAGAGGGCCGCUACCACGCGAGUGGAUGCCAAUCCCCAAAACCUCUCUCAGUUCGGACUGGAGUCUGCAACCCGACUCCACGAAGCUGGAUUCGCUAGUAAUCGCGCAUCAGCCACGGCGCGGUGAAUACGUUCCCGGGCCUUGUACACACCGCCCGUCAAGCCAUGGGAGCCGGGGGUACCUGAAGUGCGUAACCGCGAGGAGCGCCCUAGGGUAAAACUGGUG
rnacentral:rRNA from 1 species